rnacentral:rRNA from 1 species
UACGUAGGGUGCGAGCGUUGUCCGGAAUUAUUGGGCGUAAAGGGCGCGUAGGCGGCUUGGCAAGUGGAAGGUGAAAUCCCUCGGCUUAACCGAGGAACUGCCCUCCAAACUGCUUCGCUUGAGACCGGGAGAGGUGAGUGGAAUUCCCAGUGUAGCAGUGAAAUGCGUAGAUAUUGGGAGGAACACCAGUGGCGGAAGGCGGAGCUCGACUGG